rnacentral:rRNA from 1 species
GACGAACGCUGGCGGCGUGCUUAACACAUGCAAGUCGAACGGACAGGUCCUGCUUUUGUGGGGUGCUCGAGUGGCGAACGGGUGAGUAACACGUGAGUAACCUGCCCUUGACUUUGGGAUAACUUCAGGAAACUGGGGCUAAUACCGGAUAGGAGCUCCUGCUGCAUGGUGGGGGUUGGAAAGUUUCGGCGGUUGGGGAUGGACUCGCGGCUUAUCAGCUUGUUGGUGGGGUAGUGGCUUACCAAGGCUUUGAAGGGUAGCCGGCCUGGGAGGGUGACCGGCCACAUUGGGACUGAGAUACGGCCCAGACUCCUACGGGAGGCAGCAGUGGGGAAUAGUGCACAAUGGGCGGAAGCCUGAUGCAGCAACGCCGCGUGCGGGAAGACGGCCUUCGGGUUGUAAACCGCUUUCGCCUGUGACGAAGCGUGAGUGACGGUAAUGGGUAAAGAAGCACCGGCUAACUACGUG